AAAAGGCGGCGUAAGCUGUCGCUAAAGGAUGGACCCGCAGUGCAUUAGCUAGUUGGUAAGGUAACGGCUUACCAAGGCGACGAUGCAUAGCCGAGUUGAGAGACUGAUCGGCCACAUUGGGACUGAGACACGGCCCAAACUCCUACGGGAGGCAGCAGUAGGGAAUCUUCCACAAUGGGCGAAAGCCUGAUGGAGCAACGCCGCGUGAGUGAAGAAGGUUUUCGGAUCGUAAAGCUCUGUUGUUGGUGAAGGAGGAUAGAGGUAGUAACUGGCCCCUAUUUGACGGUAAUCAACCAGAAAGUCACGGCUAACUACGUGCCAGCAGCCGCGGUAAUACGUAGGUGGCAAGCGUUGUCCGGAUUUAUUGGGCGUAAAGCGAGCGCAGGCGGAAAGAUAAGUCUGAUGUGAAAGCCCCCGGCUUAACCGAGGAAUUGCAUCGGAAACUGUGUUUCUUGAGUGCAGAAGAGGAGAGUGGAACUCCAUGUGUAGCGGUGGAAUGCGUAGAUAUAUGGAAGAACACCAGUGGCGAAGGCGGCUCUCUGGUCUGUAACUGACGCUGAGGCUCGAAAGCAUGGGUAGCGAACAGGAUUAGAUACCCUGGUAGUCCAUGCCGUAAACGAUGAGUGCUAAGUGUUGGGAGGUUUCCGCCUCUCA
rnacentral:rRNA from 1 species